rnacentral:rRNA from 1 species
ACCGACUUACGUUGAAAAGUGAGCGGAUGAACUGAGGGUAGCGGAGAAAUUCCAAUCGAACUUGGAGAUAGCUGGUUCUCUCCGAAAUAGCUUUAGGGCUAGCCUCAAGUGAUGAUUAUUGGAGGUAGAGCACUGUUUGGACGAGGGGCCCCUCUCGGGUUACCGAAUUCAGACAAACUCCGAAUGCCAAAUAAUUUAACUUGGGAGUCAGAAUGUGGGUGAUAAGGUCCAUAUUCGAAAGGGAAACAGCCCAGACCACCAGCUAAGGUCCCAAAAUAUAUGUUAAGUGGAAAAGGAUGUGGCGUUGCCCAGACAACUAGGAUGUUGGCUUAGAAGCAGCCAUCAUUUAAAGAGUGCGUAAUAGCUCACUAGUCGAGUGACACUGCGCCGAAAAUGUACCGGGGCUAAACAUAUUACCGAAGCUGUGGAUUGUCCUUUGGACAAUGGUAGGAGAGCGUUCUAAGGGCGUUGAAGCAUGAUCGCAAGGACAUGUGGAGCGCUUAGAAGUGAGAAUGCCGGUGUGAGUAGCGAAAGACGGGUGAGAAUCCCGUCCACCGAUUGACUAAGGUUUCCAGAGGAAGGCUCGUCCGCUCUGGGUUAGUCGGGUCCUAAGCUGAGGCCGACAGGCGUAGGCGAUGGAUAACAGGUUGAUAUUCCUGUACCACCAUUAUUCGUUUUAAGCGAUGGGGGGACGCAGUAGGAUAGGCGAAGCGUGCUGUUGGAGUGCACGUCCAAGCAGUGAGAUUGAGUGUUAGGCAAAUCCGGCACUCUUAAGAUUGAGCUGUGAUGGGGAGAGGAACUUGUUCCUCGAGUCGUUGAUUUCACACUGCCGAGAAAAGCCUCUAGCUAGAAUAACGGUGCCCGUACCGCAAACCGACACAGGUAGUCAAGAUGAGAAUUCUAAGGUGAGCGAGCGAACUCUCGUUAAGGAACUCGGCAAAAUGACCCCGUAACUUCGGGAGAAGGGGUGCUCUUUGAGGUUCACGCUUCGAAGAGCCGCAGUGAAUAGGCCCAAGCGACUGUUUAUCAAAAACACAGGUCUCUGCUAAACCGUAAGGUGACGUAUAGGGGCUGACGCCUGCCCGGUGCUGGAAGGUUAAGAGGAGUGGUUAGCGCAAGCGAAGCUACGAAUCGAAGCCCCAGUAAACGGCGGCCGUAACUAUAACGGUCCUAAGGUAGCGAAAUUCCUUGUCGGGUAAGUUCCGACCCGCACGAAAGGCGUAACGAUUUGGGCACUGUCUCAACGAGAGACUCGGUGAAAUCAUAGUACCGGUGAAGAUGCCGGUUACCCGCGACAGGACGGAAAGACCCCGUGGAGCUUUACUGUAGCCUGAUAUUGAAAUUCGGUACAGUUUGUACAGGAUAGGUAGGAGCCUUAGAAGCGUGAGCGCUAGCUUACGUGGAGGCAUUGGUGGGAUACUACCCUAAUUGUAUUGGAUUUCUAACCCGCAGCACUUAUCGUGCUGGGAGACAGUGUCAGGCGGGCAGUUUGACUGGGGCGGUCGCCUCCUAAAGAGUAACGGAGGCGCUCAAAGGUUCCCUCAGAAUGGUUGGAAAUCAUUCAUAGAGUGUAAAGGCAUAAGGGAGCUUGACUGCGAGACCUACAAGUCGAGCAGGGUCGAAAGACGGACUUAGUGAUCCGGUGGUUCCGCAUGGAAGGGCCAUCGCUCAACGGAUAAAAGCUACCCCGGGGAUAACAGGCUUAUCUCCCCCAAGAGUUCACAUCGACGGGGAGGUUUGGCACCUCGAUGUCGGCUCAUCGCAUCCUGGGGCUGUAGUCGGUCCCAAGGGUUGGGCUGUUCGCCCAUUAAAGCGGUACGCGAGCUGGGUUCAGAACGUCGUGAGACAGUUCGGUCCCUAUCCGUCGUGGGCGUAGGAAAUUUGAGAGGAGCUGUCCUUAGUACGAGAGGACCGGGAUGGACAUACCUCUGGUGUACCAGUUGUCGUGCCAACGGCAUAGCUGGGUAGCUAUGUAUGGACGGGAUAAGUGCUGAAAGCAUCUAAGCAUGAAGCCCCCCUCGAGAUGAGAUUUCCCAACUUC